rnacentral:misc_RNA from 1 species
GCCUUUUCUCAUGUGCGCUGGUGAUGAAGCAUAGUCCCUUCCCACAUUGAAUAUCAAAUCGAUAUUACCGAUUUCUCAAUGUGAACUAUGCUUAACACAUAGAAUUGGAGUAUGUUUUCGGGGAGAAUUUAGGCUUACACAAGAUUUAUAGGGGAAGAGUUCCCCAUCUCUCUUAGCCGUUGUGUCUCUUGAAAAUGCCUAGGAGAAAGGUUCCUUUUUACUUAUUUAUUUGUUCGUUUGGAUUCCGCUUUCACAUUAAU